GAUGAACGCUGGCGGCGUGCCUAACACAUGCAAGUCGAACGGAAAGGCCCUGCUUUCGUGGGGUUCCAGAGUGGCGAACGGGUGUGAAACACGUGAGUAUGCUGCCCAUGAGUUUAGGAUAACUUCAGGAGACUGGGAAUACUACCGGAUAGGUGCUCCUGCUGCAUGGUGGGGGUUGGAACGUUUCGGCGGUGUUGGAUGGAUUUGCGGUUUAUCAGCUUGUUGGUGGGGUAGUGGCUUACCAAGUGAUUGGCGGGUAGCCGGCCUGAGAGCUUGACCGGCGACAAUGGUCCUGCGAGACGGACCAGACGCGUACGGGAGGCAGCAGGGGGAAAUAUUGCACAAUGGGCGCAAGCGUGAUGCAGCGGCCCCGCGUGCGGAAUGACGGCCUUCUGGUUGUAAACCGCUGUCGGCUGUGACGAAGCGGGAGUGACGGUAACGAGUAAAGAAGCACCGGCUAACUACGUG
rnacentral:rRNA from 1 species